AGUUGGUCUACACUUUUGAAAAUUCCACCUGAGGUCUUACUGUUGCUGAAUAAGGCACAUUUGUCCUCUAAAGAACAUUAGAUGAAGAACAAAGACUGAAUAGCCAUUCAGCAGAGGCUCCAUAUCAAUAAAAGUUCAAUUGACCUAAAAAAUUCAGAAGCCUUCUAAGGUAUUUUGUACAUUAAGGCUUGUGACCAUUUUGGACAGGGGAGUGCAGAAUGCAGCUGGUGCAUCCCUGACACCACAGGAUGAUGGUGAUGGCAGUGGAACAAAGUCAGUGUGCCUGGAAACUUCACCGCCACUAAAACUCAAGUGAACAGGAAGCUCUGACAUCUAAACUAGGGAA